UGUACAAAGUUGUGGCUAUAAUGCUGCUGCCUGGGUUCCUUGGUACAGGAGUUCUCACAGGUUGUAUUUGCUGCUAACCAUGGUGAAGUAAUUCACAAACAGUGCAGUGUUGGAACCUGUGCGAGUACAUUGCUUGUUGCUGUGUACGUAGAGAGAUGAUGUUGAUGUUAGGACGAAUGUUGAUGAGUCUCCAUGUGACUGCUGUUGUGUUGUCGCUGGAACUGGCUGUGUCCUGUGUGGUCAGUGACUAGACCUCAAAAGGUCUGGAACCGAAAGACCUCAACUCGAUGUGAAGCUAGAGUUUUAUAGGGUGCAGUCGGCUCACUGAAGGUUUAGAAGAGACUGUCUCACGUGACCUUA